GAGAAAAUAGCUCAGAUAGGGACUAACAUGCUACAUACCUCUGGUCAUGUCAUUUUCAUUUUUCAUUCUUUUCCUUUUUUCUUUUUUUUUUUCUUCUUUUUCU
rnacentral:ribozyme from 14 species